rnacentral:rRNA from 1 species
UGGUGGAGUGAUUUGUCUGGUUAAUUCCGAUAACGAACGAGACCUUAACCUGCUAACUAGUCUGAUUCAUUACAUGGAUUUUGACUUCUUAGAGGGACUAUGUGUUACAAGCACAUGGAAGUUUGAGGCAAUAACA